rnacentral:rRNA from 1 species
UACGAAGGGGGCUAGCGUUGCUCGGAAUGACUGGGCGUAAAGGGCGCGUAGGCGGUUUACACAGUCAGAUGUGAAAUUCCAGGGCUUAACCUUGGGGCUGCAUUUGAUACGUGUAGACUAGAGUGUGAGAGAGGGUUGUGGAAUUCCCAGUGUAGAGGUGAAAUUCGUAGAUAUUGGGAAGAACACCGGUGGCGAAGGCGGCAACCUGGCUCAUUACUGACGCUGAGGCGCGAAAGCGUGGGGAGCAAACAGG